ACAUCAUGCUGCUCUCCGUCUGCACUCUGCUCUCUGCUCUGGCGUUGGUCAGUUCACACAAAGCUGUGACACAAAAGCCUUCGGUUAUAACAGCAGAUGUGGGUAAAACUGUCACUAUGGACUGUAACAUCGCAAAGGAUGAAGCAGAAAGAACAAAAACCUCAACUUCAAAUCAUUGGAACUGAAGUGGAAACUCACUUAAUGUUCACUGAAGAUACUUUGAAUUCUUCACAUUUAAAGAUCACAGAUACGGUACGACUUUUUAUUCCACUUUUAUGUAAACAGACACAGAUGGUUGAUGAUUCCAUCAUGUUCUCAGCUCAGUUGUUUGUCUGUAAUGAUCUCAGUGUGAUCAGGUGAUCUACAUACGAGAGCUUUCCCACUGAUACCCUCUGAUGUUUGUGAUUAGUGACAUUGCCUGACAGAUACCUGAUGUGGUCAGAAAGUGGCAGAAAGUAAAUCCAUGAGAUGUUUGAAGUAACUUAAAGUUAUCUUCUGUAAUUCAGACCAAGAGACAUUUGUAACAGCAGGAUUCCAGGCCACACUGCUUCACUGUGAUCUCCACUGAAACGCUUAAACACUCAGUCAUAAUGUUUUCUCUACAAUCUUUGGACAAAUGGAUGCAGUGGAUUUGGACCAGAACUGUUCUGAACCGUGGCAUCAGGAAUGUGAAAUACCUCGUUACUGUACUUAAGUAAAUUUUUCUGGUAUCAGUACUGUACUCCACUAUUUAUUUUUCGGACAUUUUACUCAUUACAUUUUUACACAAAUAUCUGUACUUUUUACUUCUUACAUUUUCAA